UUGGGAAAUUCCAUCAGAAUUUUGGGAAUUUUGGGGAUUUCAGGUGGGGUACGAGCUGAAGGAGGAGAUCGAGCGCAAGUUCGACAAGUGGCGGGAACCC